rnacentral:rRNA from 1 species
AGCUCCAAUAGCGUAUAUUAAAGUUGUUGCAGUUAAAAAGCUCGUAGUUGGAUUUCUGGCAGGAUGCCGAUGCCCGCUUGUUGCGUGUGCAGAGCGUCCUACCAUCCUUCUGUUAACUCUAAUAGGCAUUGAUUUGUCUGUAGAGGGCUCAGAUAUUUUACCUUGAGAAAAUUAGAGUGUUUCAGGCAGGCUUGCGCCGGAAUACAUUAGCAUGGAAUAAUAGAAUAGGACUUGAACCUCUUCUGUUGGUCUGAGGGGUUGAAGUAAUGAUUAAUAGUGAUAGUUGGGGGCAUUAGUACUUAACUGUCAGAGGUGAAAUUCUCGG